rnacentral:rRNA from 1 species
CCUACGGGAGGCAGCAGUGAGGAAUAUUGGUCAAUGGGCGCGAGCCUGAACCAGCCAAGUAGCGUGAAGGAAGACUUCCCUACGGGUUGUAAACUUCAUUUAUAAAGGAAUAAAUGGAGGUACGUGUGCCUGUCUGUAUGUCUUUUAUCAUGACGGCUCCGCUAACACCGUGCCUGCAGCCGCGGUAAUCCGGAGGAUCCGAGCGUUAUCCGGAUUUAUUGGGUUUAAAGGGAGCGUAGAUGGGUUGUUAAGUCAGUUGUGAAAGUUUGCGGCUCAACCGUAAGAUUGCAGUUGAUACUGGCAGUCUGGAGUUCAGUUGAGGUAGGCGGAAUUCGUGGUGUAGCGGUGAAAUGCUUAGAUAUCACGAAGAACUCCGAUUGCGAAGGCAGCUUGCUAAACUGCCACUGACAUUGAUGCUCGAAAGUGUGGGUAUCAAACAGGAUUAGAGACCCCAGUAGUC